UCCAUGACUCAAUUUGCAGAUUGAAGAUGAUGCAUAUCAGGAGGAUCUUGGCUUCAGUCUGGGUCAACUGGGAAAGAGCGGCAGCGGACGUGUCAGGCAGGCUCAAGUCAACGAAGCCACCAAGGCCAGAAUCUCCAAAUCCCUUCAGAGGACGUUACAGAAGCAGAGCAUGACAUACGGAGGAAAGUCCACAGUCAGAGACCGCUCCUCAGGAACCAGCUCAAGUGUAGCGUUCACACCUCUUCAGGGUCUGGAGAUCGUGAACCCACAAGCUGCGGAGAAAAAGGUGGCCGAAGCCAACCAGAAAUACUUCUCUAACAUGGCGGAGUUCCUCAAAGUCAAGAAGGAAGCUAAGAUGUGAACACACACACACACACAACACAAAAUCAUACCCCACAUGGACAGUUGUGCUCAAUUCUGUAAAGUGAUAGAACUGUUUUCUCAUUUGUUUGACAUUGUGUUUCAUCCUGUAUUUUGUUUUAAAUUUUUGAUUUUCCACUUUAAUAAAACA